GCAGUCGCGGUAAUACGUANAAGACUAGUGUUAUUCAUGUUUAAUCGGUUUAAAGGGUACCUAGACGGUAAAUCAAGCCUAAAAGGAAAUAAAUGAAGGGACUAAUUUACUAGAGUUACUUAUGAGGGGGUAUUAAAGUACUGCUGGUGUANAGAUGAAAUUCUGUCAUACCUCUUUUCAAUAGAAAAAUAAUGGCACAGGUAUAGGCGAAAGCAUCCCCUUAUGUGAUAACUGACGUUGAGGGACGAAGGCUUUGUGUAGCGAACAGGAUUAGAUACCCCAGUAGUCAAAGCAGAAAAUGAUGAAUGUCAUAGAUUAGAUAUAUAAGUUUAUUCUAUAAAUGAAAGUGUAAGCAUUCCACCUCAAGAGUAAUUUGGCAACAUUGGAACUGAAAUCAUUAGACCGUUUCUGAAACCAGUAGUGAAGUAUGUUGUUUAAUUUGAUGAUCCGCAAAAAACCUUACCACAAUUUGAAUAUUUAUAUCUUUUAUUGUUUUUUUUACUUUAUUCUAAUUUUCUACUUAAAAGAAAACAAGAAAAAAGAGGCAAGAAGAUAUAUUUACAAGCGUUGCACGGCUGUCUUCAGUUAAUGUCGCGAGACUAUGGUUAGUUCCAUUAAAUUAACGUAAACCCUUACUUUAUUUUUAUAUAGAGUAGUUCCCCGCUAUAUUGGAUAUGAUAACAGGGACUAAGACAAGUCAUCAUGGCCUAAAUAUUGUGGGCUAUA
rnacentral:rRNA from 1 species